UGCGCUAGUCAAUAGAGGCAGUGAUAUAAGAAUCUACAAUUACUGAAUAUUUUUUAUUUUGAGCAAAUCACUGACGCAUAGAAAUGUUAAUAGAGUGAAUCAACAGAACUUAUGAGGAACCACGGGAAAGCUGAAAUAGGGAAUUUAAACAUGGAAUUACAUUUUGAAAAUCCAGAGAGUUGUCCAUAAUACCGUAUAUAAGGCUCUGUAAAACGUGACUUGUUUCUUCAUCACGCCAUUGGAGAUGUCCGCAAGAUAAUAUUUUUCAGCACAAUCUUUGCGACGAUCCAGCACAUCCUCAAACAACGUUCUCCCUAACGAAUGAAGUUUGCAACAUUUCUAGAGGCUUCAAAAGGAAUUUGAGAAGAAAUACGAUGCGAAUGAUCGAUUUAUUAGAAAACGAAAUUACGAAUUUUGGUAUGGAAUAUAUUAAAUGGGAAUAUAAUAUACAACAACUGCAACGUGAAAAUUUGACCAACAUCCUUGGCAUAGAGACUGUGAAUGAGUUUGAAAGUGAUAAUUCUAUAACGACUAUUUACAUGAAGAUGGCGAGAUUCCUCCGAUUAUUUCAUAAGCUGUGGUGUCUACAUUCAGCAAGAGCUGAGCAGCAGUGUAUCUUGCCCUUCUCAAACACGACAUUUCUUAUGCUUAAGAACAGGGUAUUAGGCAAAUGGUGGUCUGUGCAAAACAAAUGUGGAGAACAAUUUGAUCAUCAUCAUUGCGAAACAACUGUUCCAGAAUUUUCUAAUAAUGAUUUAGGAUGUGUAGACAUACGUAACAUUGUCUAUAUUCUAUUACGGGAUGCACGUUCUUUACUUAUCGAGUCCUUUUCAGUGGUUGAUCAAAUACCAGUGGUUGAUCAAAUAUGAAAUUAGAAUUUAUUGAAAAAUACGGGUUAAAAUAUCGACAUUGUUCCUUGUGCAAUUGUUGUAGGAAUGACUAAAUAUGUAUUUCGAGAUAAUUAAGUAUAAUGGUUCUUUUGAAUAAAAGUAAAUGCAAAAAUUUCUAUCUCUUUAAAUGAAAAGCUUACAAUACUUGCUGAAAUUUGUUUACCUCUAUUUUGAAUUAUUAUACAGCACAGUAUAGUCAUUGAAGCGUUUAAAUUUUAUACUGUCCACUUAACAUGCUUAAGUGUAUUCGGGUUAUUCAGUAUUUCUUCAGUCUAUUUUAUGUACAUUAAUCCAUCCCUCUGUUCAUACAAGUUAAAGCAUAGCAAAAGUUCCUUCUAGGCACAUCUAUAUAAAUAUAUAAUGAUCAUCUUGUAAAAUUUUGGUUGCAAUGUCUGUUUUAUACUGCCAAAUAUGUCAAGUAGGUAUUUACGCUAGUUAUUAUUUAACAUAAAUUGUUAAAUCCAACAACAAAUUAAAUCUGUUACAACUUUCGUUGAGUAAAUACGGCAAUAAGACAUUGACCCGGUCAAUCCAUUACGAUUCGAUGCGUGAAUUUGUUAGGCAUAAUUAGAGGGCCGCAAUGGGGUUUGUUUUCACAUAUUAACCAUGCAUUUGAAGGUAACGAUAAUAUUUAGUUGUUUACAUGUAAAUUUGCUGAUAUAUGUCUAUCUGUUUGUACAUACUAUGUUAUAUUAAAAGAAUUAAUCAACCAUC